rnacentral:rRNA from 1 species
GACGAACGCUGGCGGCGUGCUUAACACAUGCAAGUCGAACGGAAAGGCCCUGCUUUUGUGGGGUGCUCGAGUGGCGAACGGGUGAGUAACACGUGAGUAACCUGCCCUUGACUUUGGGAUAACUUCAGGAAACUGGGGCUAAUACCGGAUAGGAGCUCCUGCUGCAUGGUGGGGGUUGGAAAGUUUCGGCGGUUGGGGAUGGACUCGCGGCUUAUCAGCUUGUUGGUGGGGUAGUGGCUUACCAAGGCUUUGACGGGUAGCCGGCCUGAGAGGGUGACCGGACACAUUGGGACUGAGAUACGGCCCAGACUCAUACGGGAGGCAGCAGUGGGGAAUAUUGCACAAUGGGCGGAAGCCUGAUGCAGCAACGCCGCGUGCGGGAUGACGGCCUUCGUGUUGUAAACCGCUUUCGCCUGUGACGAAGCGUGAGUGACGGUAAUGGGUAAAGAAGCACCGGCUAACUACGUG